rnacentral:lncRNA from 1 species
CUGCGGAUUCCGCAGGCGUAAAAUCCCGCCCGCGCGCCUGGGGACGGGGGACAUCUCGGGCUCUCCGGGCUGGGCGGCACGAUGUGCGGCGGGAACCUGGGUUUCCACAGCCCCACACGGACCGAGGGACUCGGAACAGAAGUGCGGGGCAUGGGGUCGUGGCCUCUGGCCUCCCAUCCCGGGCAAGGCUCUUGUGAAAACCCCAGGCUGAAGCCGGCACAGCUCCUCGACACCAGAAAAGAAAGGCGAGGAACUUUGCAGCUCUCGGUGACGUAACACAUGCAGGAGCCCAGCUAGUACCGUAAUCUCCUGCUGUUACCGUAUUACUCCUCGGCCACUGGCAAAGCGCGCUCCCCGGCCCUGAUUUCUUCUCUCGCCAGAGAGUGAGCUGGAUUUUAGCUUUUCUAUAAAAAGAGAGGUGUGUGUGUGUGUGUGUGUGUGUGUGUGUGUGUGUAAUUUGUAGUAAAUAACUUUAAAUAGCCUGAUUUUAAAAAUAAAUUAAAUUGGACACACUUGCCUGAUACUACUGCACACAUGUUAUAUUCACAGAAAUUCUGGGAAAAAGUUACUUUGAACAACUUAACAUUUGGCCUAGGUUUGUUAAAAUCAAAGAGCAUCUUGUUAUGCUAAAUAUGCAGAUAAAUUAUAAUAUCUUGAAGUGUUUUAAAAGCAAGUAAAAUCAGAUAAAAUUCAAUAAACUGGAUUAUAAUAAUAAAAUUGUAUUCCAGACAGGUAAAGUGAGUGUAUCUAAAUCUUAUUAAAUGUAAUCCGCCUUAUAUUUUUUAGUCAUAUGAGUUUUUAAGCAUUGUGUUUGUUCUCUAUGUAGUUUCUCGUAUGAUUUGGUGUUUUUAAGUGG